rnacentral:lncRNA from 1 species
CUUUACCUUCUGUGUCUUAGGAUAGCCUAGAACUGCUGGUGUUUGCCUUCACCUCCGGAGUGGAGGGCAGAUAUUACAGGCAUGUGCUACCACACCCCGUUUCAACUGGUGUCAAGGCCUCUGAUAGACUAAAAAGGCUGCUAUGGGACCCAAGGAGACCACAGAUGUGGAAGUGUUUUGCUUUCGCAGCAUCUGCAGAAGGUCACUAGCCUAGUGCCUUUCCCUUGCUCCAAUUCUAUGAAAUGCCUGUCUUCCUGGAGAGAAAUCAUAGCAGUUUGCCAGAAAGAGAAAUGCAGGGUCCCCAGCAGGCAGAUGUGGAGCCAAUGGUAGAAGACCCACAAAAACCAAUCAGACUUCAUCCCAAGGAGGCCUCUGACCCUAGGAGGACCGAGGACAAUGCCCUGACACCCUAAAUGUAGAAGAUAUCAUAGGAGUUGUGCAGGCUGCCAGAGCGUCUGUAGCCUUGACUUUGGCCAAGUUUUUGUUUUGUUUUGAGACCGGGUCUCAUGUAGCCCAGGCUGGCCUGAAACUUGCUCUGUAACUGAGGUUGGACUUGAACUCCUAACUUUCUGCCUCUACCUCUCAGAUGCUAAAAUGAAAAACAUGUACCACCAUGCCUGGCUUAACUUUGACUCCCUUACUUAGCAUCUUUUGGCCUUGGUUUUCUCAUCAAUAGAAGGAGUGCUGUGAGGGGCGGAGUAAGUUAAUGCAGGUAAGGGGCCUGGUGCGUGCCCAUAAAGCUCAGACCUGUAUACAUGUUUGCUCCUACAAUAAGUCUUGGUUGCCUCACAUAUAAAAUAGAUAAGAAAAGACACCUGAAGUAUCCUGUCCAGCCUUCAUUCUGGCUGCAACCUCUGGUUUCCUUUCCUGCCACCCGGGUUGCACAGCCAUCUGCCUAACCUCAGGUUUACUGUACCCUCCUAGGAGGCCAGUGGCCCAAGAAAAAGUGGGUAGAAGGUUUCCCAGAUGAGUGGCCUUAGCUUUACCCCUCAAUGCCUGGGGGAUGCACGUCACAGAAGCA